CCUACGGGAGGCAGCAGUGAGGAAUAUUGGUCAAUGGGCGCAAGCCUGAACCAGCCAUCCCGCGUGAAGGAAGAAGGCGCUAUGCGUUGUAAACUUCUUUUUCAGGGGAAGAAAAUCUUCUACGUGUAGAGGAUUGACGGUACCCUGUGAAUAAGCAUCGGCUAACUCCGUGCCAGCAGCCGCGGUAAU
rnacentral:rRNA from 1 species